UGCUUGCCAGGCAGAUACUUAUGCCACUGAGCUAUAUCCCCGGCAAAGACAACUACAAAAGGGAACAGAAUUGAGCUGUCCAUUUUUAUUUCCAUCCUGAAAUCCCACCACUUGUCUGAGAAAAGUAGGCUGAGGAAUAUACACACCUGGGUGGACUUCCAUUACAAGCUUUUCCCAGCAAAACUUCAGAGGGCAGAGAGACAAUUUCUCUUUUCAUGGAGCCUGGUGUGCAGAUGAUCUGGAGCAGAGACAUGAAGCAUGAACAGGAGGUGCACCCUAGUUUAAGUUACUGAGCUACUGGAGCUGGUUGCUAACUACUUCACAACCCACCUCAUCUUGCUAGUAUGGGGGUAAAUAUUUGUCAAAAUAUAAGUGCAACAAAAUAGCAGAACAUUAAGUUCUGUGUUGCUGCUUAAAACUAUAAUUAAACAUUUAAAAUAUCUGAAUAUAG
rnacentral:lncRNA from 1 species